UACGUAGGGUCCGAGCGUUGUCCGGAAUCACUGGGCGUAAAGGGCGCGUAGGCGGCGCGGAUAGUCGGCGGUGAAAGCCCGGAGCUCAACUCCGGGUCGGCCGUCGAUACUUCCGGGCUUGAGCACUGUAGAGGCAGAUGGAAUUCCGGGUGUAGCGGUGGAAUGCGUAGAGAUCCGGAAGAACACCGGUGGCGAAGGCGGUCUGCUGGGCAGUUGCUGACGCUGAUGCGCGACAGCGUGGGGAGCAAACAGG
rnacentral:rRNA from 1 species